AAUAGUUUCUGCUUGGCUUUUCUCAACGGACUGCGGCCUGAAAAACCGCCGUUGUAAUCUCAACUACAAAAAC
rnacentral:tRNA from 1 species